rnacentral:sRNA from 1 species
UCUCCUGAUCUUGCCGACGACAUGCGCC